GUUCGUCCGCCCUGGGUUAGUCGGGACCUAAGCUGAGGCCGAAAGGCGUAGGUGAUGGACAACAGGUUGAUAUUCCUGUACUACCGAUAACCGUUUGAGAGAGGGGAUGACACAGUAGGAUAAGCUAAGCACACUGUUGGUUAUGUGUGCCCAAGCAUUGAGGCAGUCAAAGUAGGCAAAUCCGCUUUGAUAAUGCUGGGAUGUG
rnacentral:rRNA from 1 species